CCUCUGGAGGUGCCUUGGCCGAAGACGUCUGUCAAGAAGCUUGUUCCUUGUCCCGCCUUCCAGGAAUCAAAGCAGACACUAUUGUGAGCUCCCUCUUCCCCGGUCAAAGGAAGUGGAACGAAUGAAAGCACUGUCUCAGAGAAUACUGGAAAUUCAGACAGAGAGACUAAAUUACAAGGAUUUUGAUACAUUUUGGAAACAUGUAACCAGUUCCUAACGAGUGGUGCCAUUUUGUACAGUGAUGCAGUAUCAUUCUGAGGAGGACCCUUCAAUGGAGAAUCUACUUACUACGUAACCUAGAGGCAACCUGAUUGAUUCCAAGUAUUGUGAGCUAAGUGUUUUUCAUUAAUUUUAUUACUGCUCUGCUAAUGAAGACAGAUGUCAGAUGGCAACCAGUUUAUCCAGGCAGUAUAAGAUGUUAUUUGACUUCCCAAUUUAUUAGUGAUGAUGAUUCAUUGCAAUGACAAUGGAGAAAAACAGAUGACUUAGAAUUCAUGAUGAGGUAAUUCUGCAUCUCUCAGUCUUGGUAAUGAAUCACUAUUCUCCUAUCCUCCCUUGACCUAAUUUUCAAAACUGUGUAGUUGUAUUGAAUAAUAUGACGAAGAUGGUAUCUAUUAAUCUUCUGUAUUUCUUUCUAGUUUAUAGGUAGGCAUCAACUGCUGACUGAAGAAAAUAAUGCCAAAGCAGAGACAUAAGACUUGUUGAGGUUCAGAGAUGUCUUCAUUGGGUCGCUGUCUACAAUGGUCCCAAGAUUGGAGAAGUUUACAACUAAUUCGCUUCUCAUCAGAGUGCAUGAGCUGUUUAAUGUGCGCCCUCCAAAGCGAUUUACUGCACAGAAGGCAACAGAAUUCAAUCUGCCAAGAGUUUGAGACAGCAUUCCUCCCAGAUAACUGGAUUACCUGAAUGCAAGGUCCUAGGGGAUGAUUUAAAAGCUCAAAAUACAGCAACUUUACUUCAGCAAGCCUGAUCAAUGCCUCCAGGGUAACCACUUCCAAACCUCACCUGCUCCACCUUGGAUUUUCUGAUGGAAGAAAAGAUGAGUACGGAAUCAACAAACAUUUAUUUACACAAGCUGGGAGGGAAUUGCAAUAUAACUUUGAUUGAUGAUACAUUGUACCUCUGUGCAAAGCUGUGUUGCUUGCACAUGUUCAGAAACAAAUAGCAAUUUGUCUUGGCAACAUCCACACACCUUGCAUAUUCUGCCAGCAGCUUCCUUUCUUUAUUGUGCAGAGUUUGGUCCUGUAAUGGUGGUGUGUAGUGUGGGGACCAUCAUAUGGGCUAAUACA